GCACUCUGAUCCACGAUGUCCUGCGAGCUGAUCAAUCAGCUUCACGCUGGAAAUAACCAUGGCUGAUCUCAGAUGUCCAGCUUUCAGAACUGGGGCAGUAUGGCAUGAAACCCCUGCAACUCAGAGAUGGCUGGUUUAAUUGGAGAAGUGAAGGAUUUGUAUUCAGGCUCUGCCACCAGCAGCUGCACAUCUGAGUAAAAACCUGAACUCAAAGAAGAGAACUGGAAUAAUCCUCCCUUAUCCCACUUCCCAUGGUGAGCCCCAGCUGGGACGCUGACACAUGGCCCCAACUUUUCCUCCUGCCUGAUGUCUGGACCCACAGGGGACAGAUGGUGGUCCCUGGUCACUGAAGUACCCACAGGGCGGCUUUGAAUAAAGACUGAAGAACACGGACCCAUGCAAGAGGCACAAAACCAUCUGCUUAGUGGUCAUGUGGCAGCAGACAGUAUCUCAGAAGUCCUCGCAGCAUAUGACUUCACUGAUGAAGAUGGAUCACACUUGAGCAGGGAUUCUUGAUCUCUGCAAAACAGCUCAUACACAACAGGAACAAUCUCACAGAUAAGAAAAACUCCAGAAGUUGGUCUCGGGCUAUGAAAAUUUCUGCCACAAUAUGAUUUAUAUGAAAAUAAAUAAAGUGGGUCUACUACUUUAUUUGAUGUGAGGCUUAAAUGAAGCGGCGGAUGGAAAGGACUGAUUGCGACCCUGCACACUGUACCUCCAUUCAUGUGGCAGCAGUUGAGGCACAGAGAGCUUAAACAUCUUGCCGAAGCUCACCUAGCAAUGAGAUGAUGGAGCCGCGGUUGAAAUUUAGGCAGUGGAACUCCAGAUGUGUGCUCACCCUGCCCUGUUCUGCCUCCCUGGAAGCACGCUCAGCCAUGGCUCUGGCUGCCUCUCCCAUGCUGCCCCCGAGAUUUCAUUCCCUGUAUGCCUGAACGUCAACACAAGUGUCUUUCUUCUCAGUCCCAUGGAAACGGUUCCUCCACCAUUACGAUCUGAACUAAAACAAUAAGAAGAUGCUAUGCAAAAAAUGAACCUGGGACUGAAGACUGGCCCUGGGAGAUGUUUUUCAGACUUCUGGCAUUUCUGGCGAGUGACUGA
rnacentral:lncRNA from 1 species